UUUUAUGAAAGCGGAUUUAUGGACUCUACCCCACUUAACAACGAUCAAUAUUGAAUAUCGUUCUUAUAAAAGACUCAAGGUUCACAAAUCAUGUUGGAGGCUGCCUGUCUUGACAACUCUAUGGUCUUUCCUCAGAAUAUGAUUGACUACUUUCUCGCACUUACCGGUCUAAGGAAUCUUGUCAUUGAUUUUUGCCAACACUAUAUCGGACGUCUUGUCAUUUGGUGAACCUAAAAAUUAAGGUCAGCUUAUCUUCUGUACAUAUACUUAGGCUCAAAAAUUGUGGUAUGGCCACAAAAACUGUGUAAUUUUCAAGCUAUUGGUUUCUAUCGGGUGUCUUAUGAAGGUUCUAAGUUGGAGAUUGCAGCUAUUAAAUUUUGGGAUCUUCUAUUAAGCUCGACGGUCUGGAGACACUAUCAAGAUGUGAUUGAAACUAUGUUCUCCCAGCUUGGCAGCGCCAAGAUUCUUAGU
rnacentral:lncRNA from 1 species